UUCCGGUUGAUCCUGCCGGACCCCACUGCUAUCGGGAUAGGACUAAGACAUGCUAGUCGAGCGCGUCAGCCAAAACGAUGCGCGGCAUACAGCUCAGUAACACGUGGCUAAUCUGCCCUUAGGACGAGAACAACCCCGGGAAACUGGGGCUAACUCUCGAUAGGCGAAGAACACUGGAAUGUGCCUUUACUUAAAUAGCUUCACGUUAUGCUCGUGGAGUCGCCUAAGGAUGAGGCCGCGACCGAUCAGGUUGUUGGUGAG
rnacentral:rRNA from 1 species